rnacentral:rRNA from 2 species
UACGUAGGUGGCGAGCGUUAUCCGGAUUUAUUGGGUUUAAAGGGUGCGUAGGCGGUUUAUUAAGUCGAUGGUGAAAGGUAGCAGCUUAACUGUUUUACAUGCUGUCGAUACUGAUAAACUUGAGUUGUUAGAAGGUAGCUAGAAUUCCUGGUGUAGCGGUGAAAUGCUUAGAUACCAGGAGGAAUACCAAUUGCGAAGGCAGGUUACUGCAUACAAACUGACGCUGAGGCACGAAAGUAUGGGGAUCAAACAGG